AUUGAACGCUGGCGGCAGGCCUAACACAUGCAAGUCGAACGAGUGGCGGACGGGUGAGUAAUACAUCGGAAUCUACUCUGUCGUGGGGGAUAACGUAGGGAAACUUACGCUAAUACCGCAUACGAUUGAAUGAGCCGAUAUCGGAUUAGCUCGUUGGCGGGGUAAAGGCCCACCAAGGCGACGAUCCCUAGCUGGUCUGCGCGGAUGAUCAGCCACACUGGAACGGAGACACGGUCCAGACUCCUACGGGAGGCAGCAGUGGGGAAUAUUGGACAAUGGGCGAAAGCCUGAUCCAGCCAUGCCGCGUGUGUGAAGAAGGUCUUCGGAUUGUAAAGCACUUUAAGUGGGGAGGCGUUACCAGCAGAAUAAGCACCGGCUAACUUCGUGCCAGCCGCCGCGGUAAUUC
rnacentral:rRNA from 1 species